AGGACGAACGCUGGCGGCGUGCCUAACACAUGCAAGUCGAGCGAGGAGAUCCUCGGGAUGAUCCUAGCGGCGGACGGGUGAGUAACACGUGGGCAACCUGCCUCAUAGAGAGGAAUAGCCUUCCGAAAGGGAGAUUAAUACCUCAUAACAUUGCAGUUUCGCAUGGAACAGCAAUUAAAGGAGCAAUCCGCUAUGAGAUGGGCCCGCGGCGCAUUAGCUAGUUGGUGAGGUAACGGCUCACCAAGGCGACGAUGCGUAGCCGACCUGAGAGGGUGAUCGGCCACAUUGGGACUGAGACACGGCCCAGACUCCUACGGGAGGCAGCAGUGGGGAAUAUUGCACAAUGGGGGAAACCCUGAUGCAGCAACGCCGCGUGAGUGAUGACGGCCUUCGGGUUGUAAAGCUCUGUCUUCAGGGACGAUAAUGACGGUACCUGAGGAGGAAGCCACGGCUAACUACGUGCCAGCCGCCGC
rnacentral:rRNA from 1 species